rnacentral:rRNA from 1 species
CCUACGGGAGGCUGCAGUGGGGAAUAUUGCACAAUGGGGGAAACCCUGAUGCAGCGACGCCGCGUGAGUGAAGAAGUAAUUCGUUAUGUAAAGCUCUAUCAGCAGGGAAGAAAAUGACGGUACCUGAGUAAGAAGCCCCGGCUAACUACGUGCCAGCAGCCGCGGUCAUACGUAGGGGGCAAGCGUUAUCCGGAUUUACUGGGUGUAAAGGGAGCGUAGACGGCAGUGCAAGUCUGGAGUGAAAGGCGGGGGCUCAACCCCCGGACUGCUCUGGAAACUGUACGGCUGGAGUGCAGGAGAGGUAAGUGGAAUUCCUAGUGUAGCGGUGAAAUGCGUAGAUAUUAGGAGGAACACCAGUGGCGAAGGCGGCUUACUGGACUGUAACUGACGUUGAGGCUCGAAAGCGUGGGGAGCAAACAGGAUUAGAUACCCUAGUAGUC